GGUGCCUACUGGCACGUAGAAGUCCUUUUCUUUAGGGAGUAUCUCUCAAGCUAGAGGCAAAUCUAACCAACACAUGUUUAACCUAGGACAGUAUAUAAAACCCUUUUUGUAUGCACGAUUUCAUCUAAUCUUCACAACGAUCCUGCAAGACUAGUGUUAUUUCUCAACAUUUUUUUUUCUUAGGGGAUUAAGUCACUUGCUUAAGAACAUAAACAGCUAAGAAGCCGUGCAGCAGGAACUCAAACCUAUGUCUUGGACUCAGAAUCCUGUGAUCUUUGCUCUACAUUUAUAAAGCCUCUCUGCUUCUGGGUCUGAAAAUUAUGCUCCCAUGCCUUUAAUUAACAGAGGACAAUGCCUUAAAAAGAAGGCUUUCCCAAUGCAGAGAGCAACAUACUAACAGAUUGAAAUAAGCUCCACCAUCCAUCAUAAUUGUAGGCGAUAGGAAGAGAAUCUUGAUCAUCAAUCUACCCUCCUGCUCUUGUCAGCGCUGCUGUCCUCAGAUAAACAUAAUUUGUUUCUACUGUUUUUAUUUUCUGAAAAGAUUUGAAUAAAUGGAAACAUACAAGCUU
rnacentral:lncRNA from 1 species